rnacentral:rRNA from 1 species
UACGGAGGUGGCUAGCGUUACUCGGAAUUAUUGGGUGUAAAGGGCAAGUAGGCGGCUUGGUAAGUGGGGGGUGAAAUACUCCGGCUCAAUCGGAGAACAGCCUUCCAAACUACCAGGCUUGAGUGUGACAGAGGAAAAUGGAAUUCUCGGUGUAAGGGUGAAAUCUGUAGAUAUCGAGAAGAACACCAGCGGCGAAGGCGAUUUUCUGGGUCACUACUGACGCUAAAUUGCGAAAGCUAGGGGAG